CGGGGAAUAUUGCGCAAUGGGCGAAAGCCUGACGCAGCGACGCCGCGUGCGGGAUGAAGGCCUUCGGGUUGUAAACCGCUUUCAGCAGGGACGAAGCGCAAGUGACGGUACCUGCAGAAGAAGGUCCGGCCAACUACGUGCCAGCAGCCGCGGUAAUACGUAGGGACCGAGCGUUGUCCGGAUUCAUUGGGCGUAAAGAGCUCGUAGGCGGCUGUUCAAGUCGAACGUGAAAACUCGGGGCUCAACUCCGAGCCUGCGUUCGAUACUGGAUGGCUAGAGUCUGGUAGGGGGAUCUGGAAUUCCUGGUGUAGCGGUGGAAUGCGCAGAUAUCAGGAGGAACACCGGUGGCGAAGGCGGGAUCCUGGGCCAGUACUGACGCUGAGGAGCGAAAGCGUGGGGAGCAAACAG
rnacentral:rRNA from 1 species